rnacentral:rRNA from 1 species
AACGAACGCUGGCGGCAUGCCUAACACAUGCAAGUCGAACGAGACCUUCGGGUCUAGUGGCGCACGGGUGCGUAACGCGUGGUAACCUGCCCUUAGGUUCGGAAUAACUCCCCGAAAGGGGUGCUAAUACCGGAUAAUGUCUUCGGACCAAAGAUUUAUCGCCUUUGGAUGGGCCCGCGUUGGAUUAGCUAGUUGGUAGGGUAAAAGCCUACCAAGGCGACGAUCCAUAGCUGGUCUGAGAGGAUGAUCAGCCACACUGGGAAUGAGACACGGCCCAGACUCCGACGGGAGGCAGCAGUGGGGAAUAUUGGACGAUGGGCGAAAGCCUGAUCCAGCAAUGCCGCGUGAGUGAUGAAGGCCUUAGGGUUGUAAAGCUCUUUUACCCGGGAUGAUAAUGACAGUACCGGGAGAAUAAGCUCCGGCUAACUCCGUG